CAGUUGGAGACCUGUGGACACACAGAGAAAGAAGUCGCUGGAAAAGCUGACCCAGUAAUGAGAUAACGUGAACAUAUGGUGGGCUUUCUCUGAGGUGCCCGUGCUCCCAUGGCCAGGAGGAACAUCUCUGAGUGGCAACACGAAGCGCUGGGGCCAGGCAAGAGGCUGGGACCGAGAAGCCGGUGCUGACUGAAUCGUGGACCCAGGGAAAUGGCCACAGUGGUUGGAGGUCACCCCGAGCCGACCUGUCCUACCAGGUGCUGCUGGGAUGGGGGCGGGAAGGAGCUGGAAGGAAACAGCACGUCUGACAUGUGGAGAGCCGAGCGUCCACUCCCUGCAGGGGCAGGAACAGACUAAAUUCUGGAUUGCUCUUUGGGGAAAGUGAGAGCCAGGGAGCCAUGUGUCCCCAGGGACCCAGUAACCCCACUCCUGGGAAUUCAGUCUAAGGAAACUUCUCAAAGGAUGACACGGACGGAUGAACUGACAGGGCAGCGGGGAGGAGCCAAGCACUGAGCUAAGCGCCUGUCACAUCCUCGGAGCAGCUGGGGACAGCCGCGGUCACAGCCAUCCUACAAGCCAGCAGGCUCGGUGCUCCACCUUAUCUUCUCCAUUGUUAGCCAUGAAAUGAAAAAGCCCCGUGUGCGCUCCUGCCCCUCGCAGUGUCUCCUCCUGCCUGCCCCCGGGUGUGAGGGCGGCCAGAGCAGCACUUGGUUCCCUCUACCUACGAGGAAUGUGCUGGAACGUCUUUGUGGAACUGAGUCUGCAGAGGAAUGGCAGCAAGCAGUUUUCCAUGGUGAACCUCCCAGCUUGCACAUCUGCACCCUAAAUUCAGAGUCCCCCCUCAACUGUCAGCCAUUUCAUGCUAUCCUGAGACCUGGUGGACCCGCCACCAUGGGGAAGGGGCUCCCGGCACAGAAUUCUGCUGCUGGUCGGUGUGUGUGUGUGUGGGUGGGGGGGAGUCUUAGGGCCUGAGCACAGAGGGGAAGUCACUGGAACGUGCCUAGUUUCGUUGGCAACUGACCCUCUCCUCAGAUGAAGUCUAGACCCAACACCCAUCUGCUUUCCAGAGGCGCCAGACCCUGAAACGAAUCGGGCUGUUCCUCAGCUGCACGAGGUGGCAAACAAGCUGCCGCGCCUCACGCUUCUUCGGAGCCUUGAGGCCCCAGAGGUGCGCCCCUUGCUUCAGCGCUGGCCUCGGUGCCGAGGACGCCAGAGCAGUCCAGGGUGAUGGAAGUCAGGGGGACUGCGACACCUGCAAGGUUCUGCUACCAGGGGGCCCCUGGACUUGUCGCAGCUGGACUUGGCCGGGGCUGGGACACAGUUCUGGCUAAGGGCACGGGCUCUGGAGGCAGCCAGACUGGGCUGGAAACUCAGCCCCUUCAAGUGCACAGUGGGUGAUGAUCAGUGACCUAGCAUUAGCGCGGUGAGCCCUGCUGCCAGAGGCUCGGGGGCUGCUGCCCUGGGGGUGCGGCCUGAUCCUGCCUCGUGAGCCGCCUGUACUCACCAUUCCCACUUUAAAACCUUCUGAGAUGUUUCUUGGGUUCUCCCCUCCGCUUCCCCUCCCUUGCUCCCAAUUCCACUGAGGACACUGGAGGUCCAGACUGCAGGGCCUCCCAAGGCUGUCCAGGUCUCAUCUCCAAUCUGUACCCCCACCCACCCUCCACGUGGAGACAGAUGUUGCCCGGUAUUGCACAACCCUGGCCACGCGCUCUGGACCGCUGGAGAAACAAUCAAGCACGCAUGCAUCCGAACUCCCAGUACAGC